rnacentral:rRNA from 1 species
GAUGAACGCUAGCUACAGGCUUAACACAUGCAAGUCGAGGGGCAGCGGUAUCGAAAGCUUGCUUUCGGUAGCCGGCGACCGGCGCACGGGUGAGUAACGCGUAUCGAACCUGCCUCAUACUCGGGAAUAGCCUUGCGAAAGUAAGAUUAAUGCCCGGUGUUUUCAGAGUCCCGCAUGAGGCUUUGAACAAAGAUUUAUCGGUAUGAGAUGGCGAUGCGUCCCAUUAGCUUGUUGGCGGGGUAACGGCCCACCAAGGCAUCGAUGGGUAGGGGUUCUGAGAGGAAGGUCCCCCACAUUGGAACUGAGACACGGUCCAAACUCCUACGGGAGGCAGCAGUGAGGAAUAUUGGUCAAUGGGCGGAAGCCUGAACCAGCCAAGUAGCGUGCAGGAAGACGGCCCUCCGGGUUGUAAACUGCUCUUAGUUGGGAAUAAAACGGGGCUCGUGAGCCCCCUUGCAUGUACCAUCAGAAAAAGGACCGGCUAAUUCCGUG